rnacentral:ncRNA from 1 species
UAUACUAACUCCAUAAACACAUAGGUUUGGUCCCAGCCUUCCUGUUAGCUUUUAAUAAACUUACACAUGCAAGCAUCCACACCCCAGUGAGAAUGCCCUCCAAGUCAACAAGACCAAAAGGAGCUGGUAUCAAGCACACACCCUGUAGCUCAUGACACCUUGCUUAACCACACCCCCACGGGAAACAGCAGUGACAAAAAUUAAGCCAUAAACGAAAGUUUGACUAAGUUAUAUUAAUUAGGGUUGGUAAAUCUCGUGCCAGCCACCGCGGUCAUACGAUUAACCCAAGUUAACAGGAAUACGGCGUAAAACGUGUUCAAGCACUACACUAAAUAGAAUUAAAUUUCAAUUAAACUGUAAAAAGCUAUAAUUUUAAUAAAAAUAAACGACGAAAGUAAUUCUAAAAUAGCUGAUACACUAUAGCUAAGACCCAAACUGGGAUUAGAUACCCCACUAUGCUUAGCCCUAAACACAAAUAAUUAUAUUAACAAAAUUAUUCGCCAGAGUACUACCGGCAACAGCCUAAAACUCAAAGGACUUGGCGGUGCUUUAUACCCUUCUAGAGGAGCCUGUUCUAUAAUCGAUAAACCCCGAUAAACCUCACCAGUCUUUGCUAAUACAGUCUAUAUACCGCCAUCUUCAGCAAACCCUAAAAAGGAAUAGAAGUAAGCACAAUCACAAUACGUAAAAACGUUAGGUCAAGGUGUAACCUAUGGAAUGGGAAGAAAUGGGCUACAUUUUCUAUCUUAAGAAAAUUAUACGAAAGUUAUUAUGAAACUAAUAACCAAAGGAGGAUUUAGUAGUAAACUAAGAAUAGAGUGCUUAGUUGAAUUAGGCCAUAAAGCACGCACACACCGCCCGUCACCCUCCUCAAAUAACCAAAAUGCAUUUAAACUUAUUUACACGCACUAAACGCAUGAGAGGAGACAAGUCGUAACAAGGUAAGCAUACUGGAAAGUGUGCUUGGAUGAACCAAGAUAUAGCUUAAAGA